AUACAGAGGGUGCGAGCGUUAAUCGGAAUUACUGGGCGUAAAGCGCGCGUAGGCGGCUAAUUAAGUCAAAUGUGAAAUCCCCGAGCUUAACUUGGGAAUUGCAUUCGAUACUGGUUAGCUAGAGUGUGGGAGAGGAUGGUAGAAUUCCAGGUGUAGCGGUGAAAUGCGUAGAGAUCUGGAGGAAUACCGAUGGCGAAGGCAGCCAUCUGGCCUAACACUGACGCUGAGGUGCGAAAGCAUGGGGAGCAAACAGGAUUAGAUACCCGGGUAGUCC
rnacentral:rRNA from 1 species